GCACAAACCAGCAGAGUAAGACUUAGUGGGGGAUAUUCAUUUCAUUAAAUUUUGGUCUGACCUAGCCGAACUCCUAAAUUUAACGGAGUAAAAAGAAGUUUCAUAAGUUCAACAUAGAUUUGACACAAAAUACCAAAAUUCGACAGAUAAUAUAGAUAAUCGUCCGCCGAAACAUAGUAGUUUUAUACCUAAACCUGAAACUUAAAACUAAACAUGUAUUUACUAAAACGAAACAUGAAUUUAAGCUAAAACUGAACAACGGCGUCAUCAUCAUCGUCACUCUUAUAGAGGGCAAGCCAAUCAGCCCGUGACAUCCAACCGCCCAUGGAGUCCAGCCAUGUGCCUUGAGCUGGGAACAUGCGCCACCACUCUUCAAUGUGGAAGUCCUUUGCGCCGUCGUCGUCCUCAUAGUCCGAGAGGACGAUGACCUCCCCGUCGGCCCACGCUUCGCCUACUUGAAGAUGUUUCGCUCCGCCUCCACCAGCUCUGGGUACUUGCGCCAGAGGUCCGCCAUGUACGCCUCAUCGGCGGCCUUCGCCAUGAUGCGGUCCCUCACCUCCUGGUUCUCCCUACCCAAUGCCGCACUCACCAACCCCCACGGCGGCAAAGGCUGCAGCGAACCCUCGCCGAACGCGAAGCUGGACAUGCCAUAGGUCAUAUUCCUUCUUCCUUCACGGCGAGCUCGAUAGUGUGGAAGGAGCCCACUCAAUGCCUCUUGUGGGUCUCCUGGCCCGUGAUUUCGGCCAAUUCGGUAAACC
rnacentral:rRNA from 1 species